CGUGCAGGGCCAGCAUCGAGGCCUGAAUGCCCCGUUUCAGAUGGGAGGCCAGGCCUGCAGCUGGUGGAGGAGGCCACGUGGGUGCUACCCUGGACACGACCAGAGAUGAGCAAGGACCAGGAGGAAGAGAAUGGAGAGGGCCCCUGCCCCUCAGCUUCCUGAUAAAGAGAAUGGGAAUUGUGUCCUUUACAAGUUGAGGGACCUCAACCUGACGGGGCUCACGCUCCGCUCUGUGGGUCAAGCUUAGAACCUGAAACGUCCCAACCACCCUCUUCAAGGUCCUUCUGGCUCCCAACCCCCACCCCCCGGACGCCUGCAAGCCACCACAUGUUCACCUAUUGCACAUUUAU
rnacentral:lncRNA from 1 species